rnacentral:rRNA from 1 species
GACGAACGCUGGCGGCGUGCUUAACACAUGCAAGUGGAGCGACGAACCAGGCUUCGGCCUGGGGCAGAGCCGCGAACGGGUGAGUAACACGUGGGUAACCUGCCCUGAUGAUCGGGACAACCCGGGAAGCCCGGGCUAAUACCGAAUGUGCCCGCGAGCCGCAAGGCUUGCGAGGAAGGAAGCUUCGGCCUCCGCAUCGGGAUGGGGCCCGCGGCCCAUUAGCUUGUUGGUGGGGUAACGGCCUACCAAGGCAGCAAUGGUAGCUGGUCUGAGAGGACGAUCAGCCACACUGGGACUGAGACACGGCCCAGACUCCUACGGGAGGCAGCAGUGGGGAAUCUUGCGCGAAUGCGCGAAAGCGUGACGCAGCAACGCCGCGUGGGGAAGACGGCCU